GAAAUAUAUUAUUUAAGAAAAAGCUUCUAACUUUCUUCUUUAGCAGUGUAACUCUGUUAAUAUUUCU
rnacentral:tRNA from 1 species